UAUCUAUCUAUCCAUCUAUUUAUCUUGCGCUCAUUUUUCCAUCUAUCUAUAAUCUAUCUAUCUAUCUAUCUUGUGCUCAGUUUUCCAGCUUGGUUUAUCUUGAUCUGCAAAAAUCUUGUCACAUAAACUUCUUAAUCUUGAUCACUAGUUUUUCCAACGUGGUUUAGUUUGAGUUGCAAAAUCUUCUCAACCUCUUAACUGUGAUCAGCAAAAAUGGCUUAUGCGGCUGUUCUUUCCCUUGCCCAAACUGCAGGAAAAAUGAUCUUGGAUCAAGAUAGAUACCCCAUUUCUCGUAAUAAGAAACAGCAAAUCCGAUCUAUCUAUGAACCAUUUAUAUUCUUGCAAGAGUUUCUUGAAGAUUUUCCAGAGAAGGCCAACAUUUUGGAUUGGCGAAUCCGAGAUCUAGCAUACGAAGCAGAAGGUGUUCUUGAGUCUUUCAUCCUGGGGGAAGCUAAAUCACAUUGGACAGUUUUGGCUUCCAAAUCCAAGUUUAAACACCAAAUGGGAAAGAUCAGAGCAGAAGCAGAUUCAAUCACAAGGGAAGUGAUGGCCAUGAAGAAUAAUAGCUCAGAUGCAGCGCAACAUGGUGAUUCUUCCGUACCAGGUUCGCCUUCUAGACUUGCUCCAGUUACCAAGAUUGACGAUGUGGUUGGUUUACAUGAAGAUUUGGAGGAAAUAAAGUCACAACUCUGUGGAGAAUCAUCCAAUUUACAAGUUAUUACAAUCGUUGGAAUGGGGGGCAUUGGUAAAACCACUCUCGCAAAGUGUGCGUACGAUGAUCCACUUACGGUGCAGCAUUUUGACAUUCGUGCUUGGGUCACAGUAUCACAAGAUUACAAUGCAGAGGCAAUCUUUUCAAGCCUCCUAGCUUCCAUGGAAGAAUUCAACACAGAAAGAUCUGAGCGGAGUAGUGAAAAUGUGUUCAAAAUCUUGAAAUACAGGAGGUAUCUCAUUGUAAUGGAUGAUAUUUGGAGUACAGGGGCUUGGGAUGAUGUAAGAUGUAUACUUCCCAAUGAUGGUAAUGGAAGCAGAGUCAUGUUAACGACUAGAGAAACUGAUGUGGCUGCUUAUGCUGAUCGUUUGAGCCCUCUUCACGAGAUGCGUUUGAUGGAUGAGGGUCAAAGCUGGAAUCUGCUUCGACAGAUGGUGUUUGCACAUCAAGAUUGUCCUCCCGAAUUGGAGAAUAUUGGGAAAGAGGUUGCGAGGUGCUGCAAAGGGCUGCCCCUCACAAUUGUGGUGGUUGCUGGGAUACUAUCCACGAUGGGCAGCAAUCUAGCUUCAUGGAAGGAAAUUGCACAAAAUGUGAGUUCUGUUACCGUAGGAGGAGGACAAUGUGAAAAGAUAUUGUCUUUGAGUUACACACAAUUGCCUCAUUAUCUGAGGUCAUGCUUCUUGUACAUGGGAGGCUUUCCAGAAGAUUAUGAGGUCUCUGCCUCAAAACUGAUCAAAUUAUGGGUAGCUGAGGGGUUCUUGAGAUGUCCGAAGGGAUCUAAAACCUUGGAAGAAGAGGCCGAAGAGUGUUUGGAGGAUCUUGUCAAGAGAAAUCUUGUUUUGGUUACCAAGAGAAAGUGUGAUGGAAGGAUCAAAAGCUGCAGCCUCCAUGAUCUGAUGCGAGAUUUGUGCAUAAAGAAAGCACAUGAAGAGAAGUUUCUUAUGAAUUUCAGUAGCCGGAUUGUGACAAACCUCAUUUCAGUAGAGGCCAAACACAAUCAGCGCCGUGUAAGUCUAACUCCUUCGGGUCUACCAUACUUUUCAAAAAUAUACUGUUUAAGUACCAUCCAUACGAUUUUGUGCUUCCAUGGCAUUUCAGUAGCAAGAGCGUUGGAAAGAUUUAGAUUAUUGAGGGUGUUAGAUGCAAGAGAUGUUUAUGUUUCAUCAUUACCAGAUGAAAUAUUCGACCUGUUUCAUCUGGUAUACCUUGCUAUCUACUAUCGUCUAAGUCUUCCCUCAGCAAUUUCAAAGCUUCGUAGUCUUCAAACUUUACACCUUCGUGCAAAGAACGAAUGGAAGCUUUUUAAAUCCCAUUGUGUCUGUUUGCCACCGGAAAUUUGGAUGAUGCCACAGUUAAGACAUCUUGUCUUCAAUGGCAGGUUACCUGAUCCAGAAGGAAGAACAACUACUGUUCUAGAUAACCUCCAAACACUUUCUAUAGUGUCACAUUCCAUGUGUAGUGAAAGGAUUUUGAGAAUGAUCAGAAACCUAAAGAAAUUAGAGAUUGAUUGCAUGGAUAGUCGUCCAGGUGACAUUUAUCUUAACAAUUUAGUACAUCUUCGUAGACUUGAAGAUUUGAAGUUACGUUCAUCCUUUGGUGGUGAAUUUUGCCAAAAGGAUAUAUUUACCUUUCCUAGGAUGCUUAAAAGGCUGACCUUAAGUCGUAUGGCAUUUCCUUGGGACAAGAUGACAAUUGUUGGUUCGUUGCCAAAUCUUCGAGUGCUGAAACUAACUCAUCAGGCUUGCAAAGGCAACAGAUGGGAAACAACUGAAGGAGAGUUCCCUCUUUUGGAACAUCUGCUAAUAGAAAAGUCAGAUCUCUCGCUCUGGAUAACUGAAAGUAGCCACUUCCCGAUGCUGAAGCGCCUGGUGCUCAAUGACUGUUGGCAGCUUGCUGAGAUACCUGAAGAUAUCGGAGAAAUUUCAACCCUUGAGCUGAUUGAGGUGAAGGGAAAAGCAGUGAUGUCACUUGUGGAUUCAGUCAAGCAGAUUCUAGAGAUACAACGAGGAUGGGGAAAUGACGCCCUUCAAGUUCGUUGCAUGACUCAUCGCUGAAUCUGCUGGUGAUCAGGUCCUUAAAACAAGAGACUGCAUCAACGGGAAGAGAGGGAUCCAUUUGGUGAUGUAACCGUAAGACUUCGGAGGUGUUCGAGAAAAUGCCAGAAAAAUAAGUGCCCAGCAGGUGUUCGAGGAAUUGCCACCAAGUCAAAGGACAGAGAGGAGGAACAUGAAUGUUUGGGGAUUGAAAUUAGCUCACUCCUCCCCAGAUAAUCAAGGCAUACAGUUGAAGGAAGAGGUAUUUUCGCUGGCGUCAAUCUAUAUAUUUCAUUCAACGGUCGUUAUUUGUGUGGUGUUCGAGAAAAUGCCAGAUAAGGAGUUGAGGCUCCGUGUACCCAGGGUCGAACACGCGACCACCUGGGAAAGGGACACGGAUAUCCAGCGGCGACCACCUGGGAAAGGGACACGGAUAUCCAGCGCUGGUUGCCACUAGAGCAACUUGGCUUGGAUUCCGUGUACCCAGUAGGUGUUGGAGGAAUUGCAUUGAGUUAAAGGACACAGAGGAGGAACAUGAAUGUUUGGGGAUUGAUAUGAGCUCACUCCUCCCCAGACGCAUCAGCAUCAUCUAGAGGGAAGCCAACAAUAUCAUCAACUGGUUCAAGUGUAUAAGAUGAAGUGGCUUCAUUGCUAGCAUUCUUGAAUCAAUAUCAUUUCUUGUCUUGUUCAAGUGGUGUAUAAACUGUAUUUUAGACUUCCAACUUGGCCAACUCUGCUGGUAACAAUCUCCACUUUUUCUCUAAAAUGACGAUGAGUUUUCUCCCA